rnacentral:rRNA from 1 species
GACGUAGGGCGCAAGCGUUUGUCCGGAUUUAUUGGGCGUAAAGAGCUCGUAGGCGGCUUGUUGCGUCGGCUGUGAAAACCCGCGGCUUAACUGCGGGCUUGCAGCUGAUACGGGCGGGCUGGAGUUCGGUAGGGGAGACUGGAAUUCCUGGUGUAGCGGUGAAAUGCGCAGAUAUCAGGAGGAACACCGGUGGCGAAGGCGGGUCUCUGGGCCGAUACUGACGCUGAGGAGCGAAAGCGUGGGGAGCGAACAGG